GGGUUUGCUGGGGGUGGCUGCUGGGUCACUCAGAGCUGACUCAGGGCCACCUCCUCACAG
rnacentral:miRNA from 1 species